UUUAGUCAUGAUCAAGUUUUUUGAGCAGUGGGUGUGAGCAGACCUUCAGUAACUCUGGACAACACAGUUCCUUUCCCUCAGUUUGACAAAACUAUUUUUCCAUGUUCUUAAUCAGUGCUGCGGGGAGAUUCUGCAAUUUCACUGCCUGGAGCCAAAGUUGUACUGCAUAGACGAGAAGCCUUCAGUGCCUUGUUGUUUAUUCUGGAGAAAUGGGCUGGAUUUGCUGAUGGCUUCAUCAUGUCAUGCUUCACACUUCUGGAGUCGUUACAUCCUUCACCAGACUGGUUGCUGAGUUCACAUGGGUGCUGUGCUUGUUACUGUGGAGUUAGUCAAGUGUUCAGGGGAGUCUGACUGGAAGGAGAAAGUAUCAUCUGGAAUUUUCUCUCUAUGGAGAUUGCUUCACUGGCAACACUGUGUUCUUUAGUGUAAAAGUCACAUCACGGAAACAUCAGUCAAUAUCAGCCUCUUCAGGAACACCCAAAUCCACUGCUGUCAGAAUUGUGGGAUGCUCACAGUCAGCUCUUCUGUCCUCAUCACCCACUCAUUCCAGCCCAGUGACCUUUCUGUCACAAUGAAAUCUGCCAGCAUACUGCAGACAUGGUAGAAGUAUGCAAAUGCCAAAUGUUAUUAAAUGUGUCCACUGCCUGUAGAAAGACUAGUUACUGCUUUCUCUCUAUCACAAGAAAUCUCUUAGAUCCUUGUGCAAAUAAAGACAACUUGAAGUUACAUUGAUUUACACUCCUGAAACUCAAACAAGCCUUAGUAGUAUGUUUAAAAGUGAUACGGCUUCUUUAGAAGCAAGCAGAAAAUAUUUUAUAUUUGACAUGCUUUGUAGGUCACAUGGAUAAUGUAACUCAUUACAAAAUAUUAAGGUAAGUUCUUGCAAAGGGUUGUCCUUCUCACUGUGACUUUUGAUGACAGCUGGGCAUCUGUUCCCCUUUAGGUCUCAGAAAAUCAGUGUCCUAAGAAAGAGGCAAUCAAAGUCUUCUACAGCAAAUUUACUGUUUACUGCUUUCUUACCAUACAUUUGACACGAAAGAGUUUUAGAAAGAGAAUAAUGACAAUCUUUCAUGCAGCUAAAACUUGAUCUCCGUUAUAUCAGUGUUGGAUAGAUUUUUAUCAAGGGGAAAGACGGAAUUAAAUAAGUGAUUAACGUGAUUAAGACCCACUGGUUUCACACAUAGUCUGACUAGCGAAAGACAAUUUGUUAGCAGUUCAAUCAAGAAGAUAGAUUAGUUUUAUCUCAGGGUACACUAUCUCUACUUUUAUGAUGAGUUUUUUGAAUUAAGUAUGGCCAAAGAAAGCUAGGGAAAUAGGUAUUUGUAGUGUUUACUUUUAUUAAAAGUCUACAAACACUUCCAGUUGAUUGUGAAGUAGAUAUCAGAAUUUCCUCCUUAACUAUGUACUACCAAGUUUUGAUGAGAAGCUUCCACAGUUUGAAGAAUGAGAAGCCACCAAGAAUACUUAGAGAAGGAAGGCUAGAAGUGGUUAAUGAAUACUGUUAACAAGAGAGGACAGGAGAUAACUUUAGAUAUAUUUAUUCUCAUAAAAAUCUAUUUAUUUUAUUAACUGCAUUGUGCCAACUGAACAUAGUAAAAAUACAAAACAGGCCCUUAUUUUCUGCUUUUUCACAAACAUCAUCUUUGUAUUUAUUAUUUGUGCUGUACACAGUAUCCCUUUGGACAACCAAGCUUAAUUUACGAUGCUAAAAUGAAAAAAGAAGAACAAUGAACAAAAAAGAAUAAAGGAAAAAGAAAGAAAAAAACAUGUGCAAGAUUGUUCAGCUUUGUUGGGCAAAUAUACACACAGCUGUAUCCUUAGUAGUGUGUUCAGAAGUCGUAUGGAUUCAGUGUAAAGCAGGACAAAAAAAAAAUGGGUAUAAAUCAGAAACUAGUAAAAUGCUCUUUGGGUUUAAUGUGAUCUGGUUUACACAUCCUGAGAAGGGCAAGUUCAUUUCCCAUGACAGGGGAAAGAAGAGAAUCCAAAGCUUGAACUCUCUAGUGAAACAACCUCUGGAAUUAUUACGGAAUCAGUUCAAAAUCAAACUUUGGAUGCUCCCUUUUAACUUUUUAACUAGGGCUACAUAUUUAAUUUUACUCUAACUUCGGUAAAGAGCUAUAGAAGAACAGAAGCACCCUCUCAGCUUACCUUUCUUCCCACAUCCAGUGAUUCCUUUUCUAAAUGAUAUUUUCUUCUUUGGGUUUCAUAAGGUAAUACAAAUGUGCACAAAUCUACAAAAAAUAAUAAUAUUAACAAUAAUCACAAACUCAAGCUGUUUUCUUUCCUGCUCAUUACAUCUCAUAAUUAGGCUCUCAAAGUUAUAUGCAGUGCUAAUGAGAAUCAUAACUGCUCGUUUUUUUCCUGAUUUUAAAAAUAAUGUUAUAUUUAAUUGUGGCUUUAUAUUUUAAUGAAAUUGUCGUUUUGUGAUUUUGCCCAAUAAUAAGAGAUAAUGUCUUGCCAACACCCAUUGGCAUCUUUGCUCAAUUAAGCAUAAUUGUAGCAAGUUUAGUCAAAAGUUGUAGCAAAAUCAAUCUAUGGUGUGUUGGCUGUUUUAGCUCAAUAUACUAAAAGACAUGUUUGUAUUUGUUUCAGAAUAUAUUUCCUCCCAUAAGCCUUAGAUCUGAUGAAAUCACUGUGCUAUAUGAAACUGUUUCCUACUAAAAAUAUUGUAACUGUAAAUCCUAAUCAUAACAUUUGCAGAAAAUACGGAAGGCAAUUAAUAUUAGAAUGAUAUUAGUCUCUUGAAAAACCCUAGGGGACAAAAAGCAACGGAAUAAACCUUCAAUUUUAUGCUGAUGCACACUGUGUUUCUUUUCUUCUUAGAAUUCAAAUUCCUUUUCCUUUUUGUAGUAAGCAAGACUGUUUAAAUAUUGUACUUAGAAAAAAAAUGCUAGAAAUGCUGCUGCCAGAAGGACACUUCCCAAUGAAAAUUGAAAUCUGAAAUGAGAUGCUGAACUCUUCCUGGAGCAUCAUGGCAGUAGAAAGAUAAGUAAAUCUUCAAUAUAGGUGGAACUGAUCUUGGACCCAAAUAUUUACUCAUUUAAAAGGAUUUUUUUGAACAUCAAUUUGAGAGUUUCUCAUACUGCUAGCGUCUGCCAUCGUGUAGUAUUUAGCAGAAGAACUAUCUGUCUCAGAAGAGUCUUUUCUUUGUCCUCUGAAUUCUAUUCAGAGUUAGCAGACAUAUAGAGUUAAAAACUGUUACUUUCCAAAGAAGAAAAAGCAUAUAGCAAUAAUCACGACUGUUUGCAGAUAAAUUCCUACCCAGAAAUUUUUAGUUGAAAGUACAAAACAUUUGAAGUUCUGUGGCCAAUUUCACAGCUGAGUAUGCAACUCAUAUACAACAUCCAGAGAUGGAAGGAACCCAUAAGGAUCAUCCAACCCCACUACUGGCUCCACAAAUGAAUGCCUAAAAAUCAGACCAUAUGUUUGAGAGCAUUGUCCAAGCAUGUCUUGAAUUCCAACAGCUUGGUGCCAUGACAGGCACCCAGGGGAGCCUGUGC